rnacentral:rRNA from 1 species
AAUAGUUUUUUAAAUGGAAACUGGGAUGAAUGAAGUGAUGAGAUUUAUACUGUUUUGGAUUAAAUAGUUAAAUUUAUUAAUUAAGUAAAAAUACUUAAAUGAAUACAUGGGACGAGAAGACCCUAUAGAAUUUUAUAUAAAUUUAAUGUGAAAAUUUAGUAUAAUGUUUAUUAUAUUUAUAUUUUAUUGGGAGGAUAGUUAAAUUAAUUAAACUUUAAAAAUAAAAAUCCAUUAAUUUAUGAAUUAUGAUUUAGAGAAUGAUAGAUAUUUUUAAUUAGAAUUAAUUACCUUAGGGAUAACAGCGUUAUAUUUUUAAAGAGAUCUUAUUGAUAAAAAUGAUUGC